rnacentral:rRNA from 1 species
CAGUCGCCGCGGUAAUACGAAGGUCCCGAGCGUUGUUCGGAAUCACUGGGCGUAAAGGGAGCGUAGGCGGCGUGGUAAGUCAGAUGUGAAAUCCCGGGGCUCAACCCCGGAACUGCAUCCGAUACUGCCGUGCUAGAGGAUUGGAGAGGUAGCUGGAAUUCUUGGUGUAGCAGUGAAAUGCGUGGAGAUCAAGAGGAACACUCGUGGCGAAAGCGAGCUACUGGACAAUAUCUGACGCUGAGGCUCGAAGGCCAGGGUAGCGAAAGGGAUUAGAUACCCGCGUAGUCCCUGUCUCUUAUAC